rnacentral:lncRNA from 1 species
CCUUCCCUUUCAUGAAUAUGACCUACCGAAUUAGACUAUUUACCGGAUUUGUAAUCACUUAAGCAACACGACGGGUGCCACAUGUGGAGCAGGAUCUGCUUACCCUUCCGGAGCACCUGAGAUCACCCCUAGUUUUUGGUGGGGUUCGUGUGUUGUUUAUUCUUUAGUUUUCUAUGUUGUGUCGUGUGUACUAUUGUUUUUCUGUUUGUCUUUUUUAUUUUUAGCCAUGGCGUUGUCAGUUUGUUUUAGAUUUAUGAGUUUGACUGUCCCUUUGGUAUCUUUCGUCCCUCUUUUAUAAA